CCUACGGGGUGCUGCAGUGAGGAAUAUUGGUCAAUGGGCGCGAGCCUGAACCAGCCAAGUAGCGUGAAGGAUGACUGCCCUACGGGUUGUAAACUUCUUUUAUAAAGGAAUAAAGUGAGGCACGUGUGCCUUUUUGUAUGUACUUUAUGAAUAAGGAUAGGCUAACUCCGUGCCAGCAGCCGCGGUAAUACGGAGGAUCCGAGCGUUAUCCGGAUUUAUUGGGUUUAAAGGGAGCGUAGAUGGGUUGUUAAGUCAGUUGUGAAAGUUUGCGGCUCAACCGUAAAAUUGCAAUUGAUAAUGGCAUUCUUGAGUACAGUUGAGGUAGGCGGAAUUCGUGGUGUAGCGGUGAACUUCUUAGAUAUCACGAAUAACUCCUAUUGCGAAGGCAGCUUACUAAACUGCCACUGACAUUGAUGCUCGAAAGUGUGGGUAUCAAACAGGAUUAGAUACCCCUGUAGUC
rnacentral:rRNA from 1 species